UUGGUAAGGUACGUUAGGGUACCGUUUUCGGGGUUACGGGGGUUUUUUUGGGGGGUUUUCGUCGGUCCGGUCCGUCGGGUCCGGUACGACGUCCCUUCCCUUCCUAAACCGGAAAACGGUACUACGACGUUACCCUUAACCGUAAGUUUUAGGUUUUGGGGUCGGACUACUACUAGGGUUGGGGUUGGUAGUAAAUUUUAAAUUUACUUACCUAACCUUACGUUUGGGUUUGGGUUUCGUUCGUCGUCGUAGGUAAACCGUUUUAACCGGUUUCGGGACCAACGGGUAGGGGUUUUGCGUGGGAGUCUUAAUAAAUGUCUCCUCCCCAGCGAAGACAGUCUUUUGACCGUUCGAUCUCAAAUCAGGUAGGACUACCCGCUGAACGUAA
rnacentral:rRNA from 1 species